rnacentral:rRNA from 1 species
AUAAAAAUUAGUGGCAGACGGGUGAGUAAUGCAUAGGAAUCUACCUAGUAGUAUGGGAUAGCCACUAGAAAUGGUGGGUAAUACUGUAUAAUCCCUGCGGGGGAAAGAUUUAUCGCUAUUAGAUGAGCCUAUGUUAGAUUAGCUAGUUGGUAGGGUAAAGGCCUACCAAGGCAGUGAUCUAUAGCUGGUCUGAGAGGAUGAUCAGCCACACUGGAACUGAGAUACGGUCCAGACUCCUACGGGAGGCAGCAGUGGGGAAUAUUGGACAAUGGGCGCAAGCCUGAUCCAGCUAUGCCGCGUGAGUGAGGAAGGCCUUAGGGUUGUAAAACUCUUUCAGUGGGGAAGAUAAUGACGGUACCCACAGAAGAAGUCCCGGCAAACUCCGUGCCAGCAGCCGCGGUAAUACGGAGGGGGCAAGCGUUGUUCGGAAUUAUUGGGCGUAAAGGGCAUGUAGGCGGUUCGGUAAGUUAAAGGUGAAAUGCCAGGGCUUAACCCUGGAGCUGCUUUUAAUACUGCCAGACUCGAGUCCGGGAGAGGAUAGCGGAAUUCCUAGUGUAGAGGUGAAAUUCGUAGAUAUUAGGAGGAACACCAGUGGCGAAGGCGGCUAUCUGGUCCGGUACUGACGCUGAGGUGCGAAAGCGUGGGGAGCAAACAGGAUUAGAUACCCCGGUACUCCAC